rnacentral:rRNA from 1 species
CCUACGGGGGGCUGCAGUGGGGAAUAUUGGACAAUGGGGGCAACCCUGAUCCAGCCAUGCCGCGUGUGUGAAGAAGGCCCUCGGGUUGUAAAGCACUUUCAGUGAGGAAGAACGCCUGGUGGUUAAUACCCAUCAGGAAAGACAUCACUCACAGAAGAAGCACCGGCUAACUCCGUGCCAGCAGCCACGGUAAUACGGAGGGUGCGAGCGUUAAUCGGAAUUACUGGGCGUAAAGCGCGCGUAGGUGGCUUGAUAAGCCGGUUGUGAAAGCCCCGGGCUCAACCUGGGAACGGCAUCCGGAACUGUCAAGCUAGAGUGCAGGAGAGGAAGGUAGAAUUCCCGGUGUAGCGGUGAAAUGCGUAGAGAUCGGGAGGAAUACCAGUGGCGAAGGCGGCCUUCUGGACUGACACUGACACUGAGGUGCGAAAGCGUGGGUAGCAAACAGGAUUAGAUACCCGAGUAGUC